rnacentral:tRNA from 1 species
GUGGGUGUAGCUCAAGGGUAGAGCGCUGGUCUGUGGCUCCAGAGGUUGCGGGUUCAAAACCCGUCACUCACCCCA